ensembl:lncRNA
ACUCCGGACACUGGCUGCCGAGGCGCCGGGCUGCGAGCUCUGGGACGCGCCUAACUUGGAAAGCGUCUUGCUUGCCCAGCGCGCGCUACUUCUCGGGCGAGCACCCUGCGCCGGGGCACAUGCUGCCCCCGCCCCUGCGCGCCUGCGGCUCCCGGCUCUCCCUCCCCUGCGCCGCGCUCUCGCCUCGCUUUCCGCGGGAGCCUUCCAACCGGUCCUGGGGAGAAGGACGGGAGCUGUGGGAAGAGCGAGGGUGUAGAGAGGGAAGUUAGGGCUUCCGCUUUCUCCCCCAACUCCAGCGGCGGCGUUCAGUCCUCUGGGUGGAAUGUGCUCUCAGCGGCAGUGACGGCGGCCACAGCACUGGAGGCACCCGAGCCAUACACCCUGCAGCUGGAGAGGAAAGGAUGGCCGAGGUGGGAGAGACUAGAGUGAACCAGCAGGAGGAAGUCCUAGGGCCGCGAAGCUACGGCGGAGAUCUGUCCUGGAAAAGCCUUCUCCACCCUGGGCACUUUAAGCGGCGGUGGCGGCAAACAGCAGGAGGUUGCAGACCCGACAGCGAGCCUGCCUCAUUCCAGUCUUGCUCUGCCCUCCGGAGAUGACAAGUGAGAAAGAAGUGUCCGGCCGGGCCAUCCCCUUCAGACAGAAAAUCAAAGCUAUUUAAAGUAAAGGAUUUGUUUCAAAUCAAGUUACCAAGAAUAACUGUAGAAUGUGCUGGGAAUGCAAUGUCCUGAGAUAAGGAGGAACUGCCUGAAACAGCCUGGACCUUAUUCCUGUACUUCCUAGGGAAUGUAACAUCUCAAGUUAAAGAGGGACUGCCUGGGACAGCCCUGGGAUUGUUCCUCUCUCCUGGGAAGGAAGAUCACCUCCAAAGCUUAUCCAUUGAGUCACACUACCCCUGUGGUGGCAGGCUGCCUCUCCAGGUUCCUCAGCUGUGGUGCAACAGAAGCAAGCACAAUCAAGACUCCAUCUGUUCAAGGCAGCUUUCUCAAACCUUGGGGAACCUACUCACAAUGGAUCACAGGCUUCUUUUGUUUCUUGCUGCUUAUCUUGGGAAGCAAAAAUCAGCUGAGUGAAGAUGAGGAAGAAGGUGUUAAAGGUUUGAAGAGAAAAAAUGAAAAGGAUAUACUAAUCCAAGGGGAUGCGCCUGGAGUAGCUGGAGAGGUGGAUUUAAUAGGAUUGAGGAUCAAGCAACUACAACCAGGGAAGAGUGGGACAAGGGAGAUAAAGGAUAUUGGCAGGGGAACAAUUAUAAACAUGGACCAUGAUCAAAACUGAAUUUGAAGGAAAAUAGGGAUAAGAGGGGUGGAAGGUAAAAAAUAGUGGAAAUGAGAUAGAAUUAAUAGAUUGUAGGUCCCUGUAAAGUUGAAGAAGUAUUAUUAUGCAGUACUCGUUAUUGAAAUGAGGUCACUAUGCUUAAGGCACAGUGAAUCCUAGAAAACAGUGGCUUUUGUUUCUCAUUAGGCAAUACAUUCCUCUUUGCUCCAGAAUGCAACAUACAUGCAUCCUUUUCUGUACUAUUAUUUAUUAAGAAUUCAUACUUAAUUCUACUGACUGACACUCAAUUUUAAUGUACAGUAGGGAAUUCCUGUACUAUAUAUUAUGAAUCCAUUCCUUUGAAUUUCAUUUAUAAUACUUCAUGACUGACACCUGGUUUUCCACCAAGACUCAAUUUUCAUAGCAAACCUCAUCAUCAUAAGCCCCCAAAUUAACAGGAUGAGGAGGAAGAAUUGGCAGGCUAAAGAAGAUGAUUAUAUCAAUUAAUGCAGAGAAAGCACUUGAUAAAAUCCAAUAUUCGUUUGUAAUUAAAAACUCUCAACAAGUUAGGAAUAGAUAGGAAUUACUUCAACUUAAUGAAGAGUAUCUUUAAAAACCUUGAGUAUUUUCAUCAAUUAUAACAAAUGUACCACUCUGGUGGUGAAUGUUGAUAAGGAGGGAAGCUAUACAUGUGUGGGGAAAGGAGAUAUGUGAGCAAUUUCUGUACCUUCUACUCAAUUUUCUGUGAGCCUAAACUUGCUGUAAAAAAUAAAGUUCAUUUUUUUAAAAAA